rnacentral:rRNA from 1 species
CAGUAGCCGCGGUAAAACAGAGGGUGCAAGCGUUAAUCGGAAUUACUGGGCGUAAAGCGCGCGUAGGCGGUUACUCAAGUCAGAGGUGAAAGCCCGGGGCUCAACCCCGGAACUGCCUUUGAAACUAGGUGACUAGAAUCUUGGAGAGGUCAGUGGAAUUCCGAGUGUAGAGGUGAAAUUCGUAGAUAUUCGGAAGAACACCAGUGGCGAAGGCGACUGACUGGACAAGUAUUGACGCUGAGGUGCGAAAGCGUGGGGAGCAAACAGGAUUAGAUACCCGAGUAGUCCCUGUCUCUUAUAC